GCUCGAGUGGCCUAGUGGUUAGAGCGUCCGCCUCGGAUGCUGGAGGUCGUGGGUUCGUUCCUCGGCCGUGUCA